rnacentral:lncRNA from 1 species
UAUCUUAAAAUGUAAAUCUAUCUUAAAUUAUAAAAUUAUUAGUAAAUAGAAAGUAUAAGAAAUAGAAAUACACAAUAUAAAGAAAAAUAAAUAAUAAAUAAAUAUAUAAUAUAAGAAAAUACCCAAUUUAAAAAAUGGAAAAUUACAUUAAGAUUUAAAAAUAUAUCUUAAAAUUUAAAAUAUAGAUAUUACGUAAAUAGAAAGUAUAACAAAUGGAAAUAUACAAUUUAAAAAAAAGGGAAAACCUACAUUAAGAUUUAAACAUCUAUCUUAAAAUGUAAAAUAGAGAUAUUAAGUAAAUAAAAAGUACAAGAAAUGGAAAUACAUAUACAGGAAAAUAAAUAAUAAUUAAAUAAUAUAAAUAUAUAAUAUAUGAAUUAUAUCUAUAAUAAUAAGUAAAUACACAAUUUUUUAAAAAAAUGGAAAAAGUUCAUUAAGCAUUAAACAUCUAUCUUAAAAUGUAAAAUAUAUGAUAAAAGUAAAUACACAAUUUAAAAAAGGAAAACGUACAUUAAGAUUUAAAUAUCUAUUUUAAAAUAUAAAAUAUAGAUAUUACGUAAAUAAAAAAUAUAAGAAAUGGAAAUAAACAUUUUAAAAAAUGGAAAAAGUACAUUAAGAUUUAAACAUCGAUCUUAAAAUGUACAUCUAUCUUAAAAUGGUAGUAAAUUAUAUAAAAAUGAAAAUAACUCAUUAAACAAAAAAAAAUUAAAAAUGUAUAGUUUUACAUCAAGAAAGUCCCUGUAAAACUCAUUAUUCCAUCAACCUCACACUAUCAAAGAAAACUUCAAAGCACUCGAGCAAAAAAAUGGUUCUACCAUCAAUUCUUGCCGUCCCAAAAACCUUUAAUGACCUUGAAAGAGAUUUUUUAUAACAACAAACUUUUUGUUAGGUGGAUUCAUUGUUGGGAAACCCGCAACUUUCAAAAACCAAACUUAUUCAUGGGAAUUGAAUUGCUUUUCAUAGACUCAAAGGUAUUCUUACAAAUUUAAAUUAAUCUAAUCCAUAAUUUUAUUGUUAAUAUUCGUACUAGCUCUUUCAUGAUCAAACCAUUACAGUUAAUAAUCAUUCAAGCGCUUAUCCCGAAACACUUCCUUCCUCGCUGAAUCAGGUAU